rnacentral:lncRNA from 1 species
ACGCCCCUACUACCAACCCUUCAUCCGCCACCUCGGCACCCACCUUGCCUUUGGCCGGCUAUAGUUAUUUUUUUUUCUUUUGCAUCUUACCCAGAGUUCAGUGGACUGGCACAUCCUUCUCUUCUUUUGCGCUUUAUUUUUCUCUGUAUACAGCACAGUACCAAGUUAUUAUUUUUCUGUCAAUGUCACUUGUUUUACUUGAGUUCUUCUCUUCUGUGAUGAUUUUCGAAGGUGUGUGAAUGCUUCAUGACAUGUGCAAGAUUAGUGUUUCCGAUUUUGUUGGCCGUUCUGGCAUCAUUCAAGCAACAACCCAUAGAACGACUGUUCGCAGACUUUCUCAGGCAUGCUGCAGGUUCAUUUACUACCCUCCACGAUAAGAAUUUCUAUUUUUACAUCACUCGCAUCUCUUGAAAGGUGCCUCUUUUAUAGUGUUUUCAUUAUUUCAUUACAAUUUUCCACAAUUCUCCAUUCUCUUGCGUGUUCUGUGCCACUGCCCUCCAUGCCAGCCUAAAAUGGGCAAAGAACCAUCCCUGCAUAGCUUACAGUGCUGUUCACCCGAUCAUCAUGCACAUCAUAUUUAUGACAAGGACUUCUUGCAUGUUUUUCCCCCCCACUUUGCACUUUCUGUGGCAUUACGUCAAGGUUGAACUUUGUUCCCCAUGUUGCAGUCUUCAUUCAUGUUACAGUUGAGCUGUGGUUAUCCAAUUCUGCAUUGUAAAUAACACUGCAGCCCUUAUUUCAAAGGCAGCACAUCCUUGUCAUUUUGAGCUAAAUAAUCUGGUCACAACUGUUUUUUAUUGCACUUAUACUUUGCACAUUGUUGUUACAUUUUUAUGUUUUUGGUCCUUUGUUGCAUUGUUAUAUAUUAUAUUGUCAUACUGUUGAUUAUAUAGCGUGUUCAAGUUUUGUGUGUCUAUCAGCCCAGAAGGUUUACAUAUUAUAGGCUUUCCUGUUCUCAAGCAUUUUAUGCCAUGGGUACUGGGUUGCAGCUUGAACUUAUUUCCUUUCCUUCAGAAAAAAGUAUCUAUCACACUUUGUCUACUUUUGAUGCAGUUUAAUAUAUUUAUAUUUUAUUGUACAUCACCAUAAUUGGGGCAUAAUUUUGUGAUAAACAUGACCAAGGAGCACCUUGUUUCUUUCUAGUCCAACACAUAUUUGUUGUGACUUAGGAAACAGCAUCUCAGCUAGCUUUUUUUUUUCCCCCGCUGUUGGAAAAAAAAAGACUUGACAGGUAACCUGUGACUGAAUUGUUAAUGGUAUGUUUCCAGUGUAUGCUUUCUUAGCUAAGUAGUGAGCACAAGAACUGUGUGGGUUGUUUGUUACAGCUGUGACUAGUAGCAUUAUAUGAUACAGGGAACUAGUGCUGCAAAGGCUCAUUAAUUCGAAUUCUGUUCAUUCGAACUGACACCCUGGUCCUUGCACAGCCCUGUGUAUUUCUGUGGGCGAAAACUCCCGUUAAUUCGAGUGCGUCGGUAUCCACAACGCUUAAUUCCAACUGGGAGCCUUUGGUUUUCAUCGCUUCUUGCAGAAGUUGGCCAAGAGUGAUCACAGUGUGUUGCAGAACCAAACCAAAUUUACUGGAGAUGCAAAAGAAUUCGGACGCUGCGCUUGGGCUCUUGGGCAAGGUGCAAACGAUGCUAAUGGAGUCGCGACAGAAAAAAUGCAAGCAAAUGCAAAUUACUGAUUACAUAAUUUUUUUAUUGCAUUGACUCAGCCAUGUAAAUAAGUGUCUUUGGGAGCAUAAAUAGCAUCAUAUAUUUCGACAUUAAGGCUCACUGCUUACGCGGGGGCUUCUUUAGAUUCUGCCCGUGUAGUGUGGCGCAAUGUCCGUUCAUUCUAGCUCCUGCCCGCUUAUUCGAACUCCGCUUAAUUAGAGCGAUUUUUAAAGUCCCCUUAGAGUUCGAAUUAACGAGCAUUUACUGUAUACAGUCUGUGCAUUCCAGUGACUGGUAGCAGGAACUUAAACUUAGAACAAGCUGUUCCUUGAAGGUGGCAUAUUUUACUAUUAGAUUGGAAUGAAUUUGUGGCACAGCAUGGCUUGCACUACAAACUAAAGAUAUAAGGAAACCACUACUUCUUUAACUUAUUGCCUUUGUAAUGAAAUGCAUGACACAUUCAUCCUACCACGUGAUUCGAAUGCUUUCUGCCAGUUAGUGAGAGAUUACGCGCACGUCUUUGCUCCUGCGGACUGAAGCAAGUGCCUGAUCUCAAUAGAUGGCCUUACACUGGUGGCCUUUUUGUGGUUCAUUCUGAUAGUUUCAAGUGGUAACCGCUAGUAUGCUGUCACCAAUAAUCAAGACUGCAGUGUUUGUCGAGUAUGGAGCUUCAAGUUUUUAUCUCAACUAUCAGGACUAUCAGCUUUAUCAAGUCAAACUUGCACCUUGAUAUCUGUGUUGUGUUAAUGUUUUAUUUUCUAACAAAGAAAGAGGACAUUGCCUCUCCUCUCUCUCUCUCUCUAUUUUUUUGGUAGAUGUUGCCCAAUGCUUCAGCCUUGCACGCACGUCAGUGUCAAGUGUAAUAUGUUCCUGAUUAUUUGUUUCAUCAUUCUCUGCAUUGCUGGUACUAGCUAUAUGCGGGCUUUCACAUACCAAAAAGUUAUUAUUUUUAUCUUGUUUAUUGUUUUAUGUUAUGUUCUGUUUUAUAGUUUAAAAUAGUUUUUGUUCUGACUGAACAUAUGGCAGGGUCUUGCGUUAAAAAAACAUUGAAAAGCAUACAUCAAAGCUCUGGAACUCAGUUAAUAUGGGGUUCUAUGGCUCAUGACUAGGGAAGUUGAGCAUCAUGUUAUAGCUGAAAUGUCCGGUGUAUGUUUUCAUCUUUUCUCAUGAUAUUUUUGCUAGGCGGGAACCAAUGCUUCUUCUGUGCAUGCUCCCUUCACUUUUUAUGCUUGUUUCCAUUCUGAUUAUUUGCAUUACAUUUUAAUUCUAGACAACCCUCACGUUGCUUACUUACAAUGGACAAUACCUUUCUUGUUGGUUGUUCAUGGCAGAAACCUGUUUCAGGGGUCUUUGGUCAUUCCAUAAACAGUGUGCUCGUUUUCUUCCAUGCCCUAAUUGGAAUUGCUUUAGGUAAAUAAUGUGUUUAGCUUGUAGAGGCUAUGAUGAAAGGCUUUAUGUCAAGUACGCUAUGCUCCUGCCUUUUAUUUUAAAUUGAAGGUGGCAAGAUGAAGCCACAAAGAGCUCUGAUAAAUUUUUUAUUGCCGUUCACGUGUCUGCUUCCAGACAACUGCUCACGUGUUGCAGCACAGCUGCACUAAAUCUGUAUGAGAGAUAAUUAAAAUUUAUAGCACUAAGCCAGGCACUCUUGGUUGAUCAUCAAAUUAUUGACCAUAUGAGUAGUACAGUUUCUAUGCACUGUUAUGGCCUUCUAUAGGAAAAGCACAUAUUGUGGUUUGCCUUUGUGAUGUAGCAUCACGAAUUUUUGGCAAGGCUAGCAAAGUGUGGGAGCUCAUACUUUAAGAAGAGAGCCUGUAAUUUAUAGCUGAAACUUGGAAGUUUCUGAGAAAUGAGAGAAUUUGGAUUCAAAGAGUGUAAUGAAUGAGUAGCUAAAAAAAUUUGCCAAUUGAAGGGGGUGGAUGGGAAUAGAUAUAUAAUCCUGCCAAAUAAUGUGCUGCAUACUUAUCCUUAUGGUUUCAAAUGGCUUUGCCUAUAGCCUAUUUUGUUAUUGUGAGCCACGUUAGCCCAUAUUGUAUUGUAGGGAAUAUUGGUAUACAUUUUGUGGAUGCCUCACCUCCUCUACCACUCAUUAGUGGUAGAGGAGGUGUUCCUAAAACAAUUCGCUUGUAAAACAGGCUCAUGAUUGUGCAGUGCUAAUUUGCCAAUCAGUAAUAAGUGCCAGCCAGUCGUGACGUUUUCUCUGGCUGAACAACUUUAGGAAUGACUACUGACAUAAGCAAAUUGCUCAAUAUUCUUCGUAACUGGGUCAUCCAAAAGGCACCAUUACUUCAUGCUUUUGUGAAUAAUUUGUACUUACCUGGGCCUGCAACUCACUACUCAUAAGAUCAUGACAGAGGUCACAUUUGGCUUAUGCUUUCGGAGCAAAAAAGCAGCAAAGUAAUUUGUCAUAGAUGCUACGAUUCUUGUUCACAGUCCUUAAUGUUCACCAUGUGUCAUGCUUGCAUUGUUUCGUCACAAUCGCUGCAGGUUUUCAUUUGUAAUGAUUGUUUUGGGAGUAUGGCUUGGGCAUGGUUUUGUUGUCCAAUCCAUGCAUGAGCUGUGUUCAGCAAUAAUGCAUUGUAAUUUAAAGGUGGUAUUGAGACUUUAAGUGACUGGUUUCAAAAGAAAUUCGGCCUGGGUGGUGAAGUCGCCACAAAAUGUUUUGAAAAAUCAACAUAUUUUUUAUAUUGCUCUUGCAUUGCAUCAUUGCAUAUAGUCAUUGAAAUAUCACCAUAUUGAAAUGGUAAAAUUUUACUCGUUUGGCUGCAAUUGAAAACAUCCUAUUUUGAGUUUGCCUUGCCUCGUUUAAAGUAACUUAAGGAUCUCUUUACCCGGGUACCCAUUACUAAAUGUAUAUGCCUUGAAAAAUAAAUUGAUUUGAUAAUAUAACACUGAAA